AUGGACAAGUUUGUUGCAAAAUAUUGUUUUGAAUACAUGUCAAAUAAACGUUUGUCUGUCACACACAAACGUGCACACUGUACAGUGCUCACACAAACGCAAGGCUAUGCAAAAAGGACAAACAGAUAAUCAAACAAGGCAAAUAUCUGGCCAAAGUUAAGCAAGCCAAAACUUUGGCAUCUCCUAGAUUUCAGUUGCUGUUCUCAUUUCUCUGCCAAGUGAUUCACUCGCACAGGUGUUAGCCAGAAACGGAGAUUGCCAGUCUAAGAAAGAAAAUGUUUCUUCUCCGCUUUAAGAAAAUUCUUUAAGUCAUGCGUAAGUUUUGAAAAGUUUACGAAUGACACACAUGGUCCAGCCUAAUAUCCGCAGAGCAGGACAAAUCCGCUUACCGCUCUCACACUCGAUGCGGAAAAACCAAGCUAAGGACAAAACCUUCUGAGUGCGGAACAUUAAAAGAAAAAAUUUUGGAAAAACCUAGACAGUCGUUUACACGGCUUAUUCGUCUUCAUUUCAACAUCAACGAUGAUUAUGAUUUAAGGUCAUCCAUCCACAAAGGCUUCCAGUAAUGCUGUUGCACUGGAAUGACAGAGGGGUUGAUGGGUGCAAUCGAAACGUAAUUAGCGUCUUGAGAUGCAUUCAGCUUUAUGCGUAGGAGGAAGUUACUCGAAGACCUAUGAACCGAUGUGCAAUAAAACUUUAAGACACUUUAAAAGAUCAAAAUCAUACAAGUAUGCUCGAGGCCAAAGAAAUUAAAUUCCUACUGUACACUUUGCACCAAAUACCAAUAGAGUCAAGUAGUAAUAUAAAU